rnacentral:rRNA from 1 species
UUGCCCUACGGGAGGCAGCAGUGAGGAAUAUUGGUCAAUGGACGCAAGCCUGAACCAGCCAUGCCGCGUGCAGGAUGACGGCUGUAUGAGUUGUAAAUUGCUUUUGUACGAGGGUAAUAUCGGAUACGUGUAUCUGCUUGAAAGUAUCGUACGAAUAAGGAUCGGCUAACUCCGUGCCAGCAGCCGCGGUAAUACGGAGGAUCCAAGCGUUAUCCGGAUUUAUUGGGAUUAAAGGGUGCGUAGGCGGUUUUAUAAGUUAGAGGUGAAAAUUCG